rnacentral:rRNA from 1 species
UACGUAGGGUGCAAGCGUUGUCCGGAAUUAUUGGGCGUAAAGCGCACGUAGGCGGCUUUGUAAGUUAGAGGUGAAAGCCUGGGGCUCAACCCCAGAAUUGCCUUUAAGACUGCAUCGCUUGAAUCCAGGAGAGGUGAGUGGAAUUCCGAGUGUAGAGGUGAAAUUCGUAGAUAUUCGGAAGAACACCAGUGGCGAAGGCGGCUCACUGGACUGGUAUUGACGCUGAGGUGCGAAAGCGUGGGGAGCAAACAGGG